rnacentral:rRNA from 1 species
UCAGGCCUAACACAUGCAAGUCGAGCGCGCCUUCGGGCGAGCGGCGGACGGGUUAGUAACGCGUGGGAACGUGCCCAGAUCUACGGAAUAGCCACUGGAAACGGUGAGUAAUACCGUAUACGCCCUUCGGGGGAAAGAUUUAUCGGAUUUGGAUCGGCCCGCGUUAGAUUAGGUAGUUGGUGGGGUAAUGGCCUACCAAGCCUACGAUCUAUAGCUGGUUUUAGAGGAUGAUCAGCAACACAGGGACUGAGACACGGCCCAGACUCCUACGGGAGGCAGCAGUGGGGAAUCUUGGACAAUGGGGGCAACCCUGAUCCAGCCAUGCCGCGUGAGUGAAGAAGGCCCUAGGGUCGUAAAACUCUUUCGCCUGUGAUGAUAAUGACAGUAGCAGGUAAAGAAACCCCGGCUAACUCCGUGCCAGCAGCCGCGGUAAUACGGAGGGGGUUAGCGUUGUUCGGAAUUACUGGGCGUAAAGCGCACGUAGGCGGAUUAGAAAGUUAGAGGUGAAAUCCCGGGGCUCAACCCCGGAACUGCCUUUAAAACUACUAGUCUAGAGUUCGAGAGAGGUGAGUGGAAUUCCGAGUGUAGAGGUGAAAUUCGUAGAUAUGCGGAGGAACACCAGUGGCGAAGGCGGCUCCCUGGCUCGAUACUGACGCUGAGGUGCGAAAGUGUGGGGAGCCAACAGGAUUAGAUACCCUGG